AUAGAUUAUGGCUGUUAGGACCAUAAACAAAGGAAACAUGCAAAAAAUAAGGAUAGCACAGCUCAAUGCCCAAAACUCGCGACUAGUAGCAGACGAAUUAAGAACAGUACUCGCCGAAAAAAGAAUAGACGCAAUUGCCAUACAGGAACCGUAUAACCGAGAAGGGGAAAUCACGGGGUUGGGUAUCACCACAAAGGUAAUAUCUGACCAGAAACGCUUCUCCAAAACGGUUAAAUUCACAACCGUGAAAUCUGCUAUUGCUGUCACCAACCGCGAUAUAGAUGUCCUAAAAUUAACUCACCUCUGCAACUCACACUUUACCUGCACGGAGCUGGUGCACGCAUCAGCCAAAUAUUACCUAAUCUCCGCAUACAUGCAAUUCUCGGAGCCGAUAACACGCUAUCUCCAACACCUAGACAGAAUCCUAGAAGCACUGCAAGGGAGAGAGGUAGUGCUGUGCCUGGACGCAAAUGCAACCUCCGCGUUAUGGCACGGUAAACAACUAUCCCAUAGCAGGCCCACAGACCAGAGAGGAGAAGAAUUAGAGGUCUUCAUCAACCAGCACAGGUUGAUAGUCAUAAACAAACCAGAUAACCCACCGACAUUCGACAACAUGGGACGCAUAAACCUAAAGGCGAAAUGAAAGUGAAAGUCGGCCUUCGCGCCGAUCGAGGGAGGAUGGGCCGCGUAACCUAUGCGGCCUCGCACUCCCGGGGCGUCUCGUUCUCAUUGCGAGAAGAGGCGCACCUAGAGCGUACACGUUGGGACCCGAAAGAUGGUGAACUAUGCCUGGUCAGGACGAAGUCAGGGGAAACCCUGAUGGAGGUCCGUAGCGAUUCUGACGUGCAAAUCGAUCGUCGGAACUGGGUAUAGGGGCGAAAGACUAAUCGAACCAUCUAGUAGCUGGUUCCCUCCGAAGUUUCCCUCAGGAUAGCUGGCACUCGACAGUUUCUCAGCGAAACGCGUGCGAGUUUCAUCUGGUAAAGCGAAUGAUUAGAGGCCUUGGGGCCGAAACGACCUCAACCUAUUCUCAAACUUUAAAUGGGUGAGAUCUCUGGCUUGCUUGGAACAUGAAGCCACGAGAUUUUGAAUCAGAGUGCCAAGUGGGCCAAUUUUGGUAAGCAGAACUGGCGCUGUGGGAUGAACCAAACGCGGAGUUAAGGCGCCUAAGUCGACGCUUAUGGGAUACCAUGAAAGGCGUUGGUUGCUUAAGACAGCAGGACGGUGGCCAUGGAAGUCGGAAUCCGCUAAGGAGUGUGUAACAACUCACCUGCCGAAGCAACUAGCCCUGAAAAUGGAUGGCGCUGAAGCGUCGCGCCUAUACUCCGCCGUCAGUGGCAAGUGGGGAGGUAGCGAGUCUCACCCUCGGGUUGUGACCGGCCUUCAUGAAGCCCUGACGAGUAGGAGGGUCGCGGCGGUGUGCGCAGAAGGGUCUGGGCGUGAGCCUGCCUGGAGCCGCCGUCGGUGCAGAUCUUGGUGGUAGUAGCAAAUACUCCAGCGAGGCCCUGGAGGACUGACGUGGAGAAGGGUUUCGUGUGAACAGCCGUUGCACACGAGUCAGUCGAUCCUAAGCCCUAAGAGAAAUCCUAUGCAGAUGAGGUGUCUAAAUAUCAUGAUCGAAGAUGCUAAAAAACACACCCAUUGGGCGAAAGGGAAUCCGGUUCCUAUUCCGGAACCCGGCAGCGGAACCGCAUACCAUUCGGGCCCUCGUAAGAGUGUUCGUCGGGGUAACCCAAAAUGACCUGGAGACGCCGUCGGGAGAUCCGGGAAGAGUUUUCUUUUCUGUAUAAGCGUUCGAGUUCCCUGGAAACCUCUAGCAGGGAGAUAGGGUUUGGAACGCGAAGAGCACCGCAGUUGCGGCGGUGUCCGGAUCUUCCCCUCGGACCUUGAAAAUCCAGGAGAGGGCCACGUGGAGGUGUCGCGCCGGUUCGUACCCAUAUCCGCAGCAGGUCUCCAAGGUAAAGAGCCUCUAGUCGAUAGAUUAAUGUAGGUAAGGGAAGUCGGCAAAUUGGAUCCGUAACUUCGGAAUAAGGAUUGGCUCUGAGGAGCGGGGCGUGUCGGGCUUGGUCGGGAAGCGGGUUUGGCUGACGUGCCGGGCCUGGGCGAUCUGAAGGGGGAGGCGAAGACUUUCGCGCACCCCGGAUCCGAGCUCGGUCCCGUGCCUUGGCCUCCCGCGGAUCUUCCUUGCUGCGAGGCUUCCGUGGCGGCUCUGCCGUCGUGGACUGUUUCUUCGGCCGCCAUUCAACGCUCAGCUCAGAACUGGCACGGACUAGGGGAAUCCGACUGUCUAAUUAAAACAAAGCAUUGCGAUGGCCCCCAAGGGUGUUGACGCAAUGUGAUUUCUGCCCAGUGCUCUGAAUGUCAACGUGAAGAAAUUCAAAAAAGCGCGGGUAAACGGCGGGAGUAACUAUGACUCUCUUAAGGUAGCCAAAUGCCUCGUCAUCUAAUUAGUGACGCGCAUGAAUGGAUUAACGAGAUUCCCUCUGUCCCUAUCUACUUCCCCCCAGGGGCUGCGGGCGUCUGUGCAAAAACACAGUCGGCUGCAGUACGGGAUUAGCGGUCCCGGGGUACCCGAGCUCGUAGCAUACCGUAAACCUGUGGUCAUGUUUCACAGGAACGGGGGACUUGCCUUAAUCGGCUGGUUCCGCGAGGGUGAUAACCUCUAUAAAAAAUCCCUAACCGAACGCUGAGGUACCGCGGCUAGUAGGCACUCCCCAGUCGAGGGCACUGGGGGGUGGGCUGGUGGGUGCAUCAGCCCUUAGCGUCCACCUCAGGACACCUGGCGACCUCCUGAGUCUAGAAGCCUUCCCCCCGGGAUGGGCGUCACCCGGGGGGC
rnacentral:rRNA from 1 species